rnacentral:rRNA from 1 species
AACGAACGCUGGCGGCAUGCCUAACACAUGCAAGUCGAACGAGACCUUCGGGUCUAGGGGCGCACGGGUGCGUAACGCGUGGGAACCUGCCCUUAGGUUCGGAAUAACUCCCCGAAAGGGGUGCUAAUACCGGAUAAUGUCUUCGGACCAAAGAUUUAUCGCCUUUGGAUGGGCCCGCGUUGGAUUAGCUGGUUGGUAGGGUAAAAGCCUACCAAGGGGACGAUCCAUAGCUGGUCUGAGAGGAUGAUCAGCCACACUGGGACUGAGACACGGCCCAGACUCCUACGGGAGGCAGCAGUGGGGAAUAUUGGACAAUGGGCGAAAGCCUGAUCCAGCAAUGCCGCGUGAGUGAUGAAGGCCUUAGGGUUGUAAAGCUCUUUUACCCGGGAUGAUAAUGACAGUACCGGGAGAAUAAGCUCCGGCUAACUACGUG